UUGAGAGCUCCACCUCCCCCCACUGUUUUCGGCCAAGGCAAGAGCAAAUCAACCCCCAUUUUUAGCUUCUCUAAAAUUGAUUCCUUGGUGUAGAUCAACUAUAUUGAAGUCCCCAAGUAGCGUGGAAGAGUUGUUUGAGUCAUCCAACCACUAGUUGUGCCCAAUUUCAAACCCUAACUAUUGAAGGAAGUGAAUAACAAAGACCUUGGGCAGCCCGAAUCAUAGGUUGGGCUUAGCUUGAGUUGGAUCAUAUUGGAUAGCGUUUGAGGUACAGACGCACAGCCUGGUGAUCCACCUGUUUAGGACACCCUUUCUGCUAUUCGGAGUGCUCCUCUCUUUCCGGAGCUUAUACUUUUGGUAUAUAUAUUUAUUAGUGCAUUUGUAUAUAUUCGUUCAUGGGUACGGCGGGGCCCUGUCCCGUCAUACGAUUCUGUCGGUCUGUUUAGAGGUCUGUGGACAUGUUUGUGGGUUAGGGUCUUUCUGUAUGGAUGUAUGUACAUGUCGUUUGGGCGAUCCCAUACGCCGAGGCGGCCGGUCCGCAUAUGUUGUUUGGGCGAUCCUAUACGCCGAGGCGGCCGGUCCGCAUAUGUUUAUAUAUUGCUUGGUUAGCCCUGUGUGGCUUUUGUUGGCAUUUUCUGCGUGCAGGGUAUAUUGGAUAGUCCGUAAAACAAAGGAAACUCUGCCGAAAUUUUUCUGGAAAUUACCUAAAUUUGAAAUAAAGCCUUGUCGGCUUCCGCCAUAUACUAGAAUGAGUUAAUAGAAUUUGAGAUAAUAUUUGAUAGAUGGGUUCGGGUGCCCAGAUCGGGCCCUAGUCACGGCCUACGGGGUUGGGUCGUGACAGUUUCUUCCUUUCUAUCUCUCCAUUUACUAUAUCAAUCCUCUUCUUCUUCUUAAUCUGUUUGUUUAUCUGAUUAAUCCUGUCUGUUUAACGUGAUUAAAGCUUCAUGAAACUCGCUCGAUAAUCUCUCUUAGAAUGAUGCCAGAAGAUACUACUCUCCCAGUACAAUGGAGUUCGUCGUUCAACGAAGACGCAUCGACUUACUUUGAUCCCCGUCUAGAUGUGAACUCCGCUGAAGUUAUGCUUAUUGUGCUCGAUUAAGAACACCCAAGUGAUAUUAUCCAAAACACUAUUACGUUUUAGGUACUAAUGUAACUGUCACAUGUGUUUAACACCUUAAUCAGCGUUCUUGUCUUUCUCUUUUUCUUUUCCAGGUAAAUCUCCUUCAUUUUAGAACGCCUUUCUCUUUUGCUCUACUUCCUCCCACUCGCCAGAGGUAAAGUCUUCCUUGGGUCUUCAAUAUUUUAUUUUUUUCCCCUUAUUUUUGGUUCGUUGUAGUACUGAAGUUUGUAUCUUUCGAUUGUUUUGAAGCUCACUCACUGAAUUAAACAACUCUUAUUUGAUAGUUGUGUUAUUAAUUUUCCAGAAGCCAUCAAACAGGGAUACUCUGACCAUUUUGUUAUGGUGUUACAUUAAUUGUAUUUAUAUUUUAGUUGUUUUAAUUAUGUUUUAUGUUUAGUUGAUUUAAUUAUGUUUUAUGCCUUUUUUAUUUAAGUUCAUUGAUAGAUUUUUCAUAUAAAAUUUAUAUUGAUGUCUCAGGAUCUAACACUAUGUUUGGUAUAGAUCUUCUUCAUUCCGUGACUGUUAUACUAAUCAUUUUCUCUUUAUAUCAUCUUCGUUUCAUUAUUUAUUCAGAUUUUUUGAUGCGGACAUGUUGUUUAGCGCUCAUUCUUCUUCGGCACGUGUACACAGACUUUUCUUUAUAUAAGUUUGUGAAUGCGUACAUGGAGUCCUAUUAUUGUUUACAUUCAUUCAUGUUUGUGAAUUUAAUUUCAUCCUGUCAACUUCGUUAAUCGUUAUAGAUAUGACUGUGAUCUUAUUUGCUUUUUCCUAUGAUAGAUUCUUUUUCCUAUGGGUAACCACUAAUUAGUGAUAAGUUAUGCCUCACUAUGCCUCUUUGGCGUCGAUCUUAUUCCGUAGAUCUGUAUAUGAUGCAAACUUAAGUAAGCGCUACACUUACGAUGAGUACGUCUGGGCUGCUAUUUCCUUGUAUCUCGACGAUAUUAAUAUGUUCCUUUCUCUAACAGUCUUCAGGGUUGUUGAAAGUUAAAAGAGGAUUUCAUACUUGUAUCUACUCUGACAGUUAAAAGAAAAGGGAAUUCCUUCUCAAUGUUUGGUUUUCAUCACUUACUGCUUCAGAACAGACUUCAAAACUGAUCGCAUUUUCUCCAACUUAUUUGGGCAAUAGACUCACGAAGAUCUCCCUGAAUAUGAAAUUAGGUGUGUCCAUUUUAAUAUAUGUAUUGAUUCUUAUCAUUAAGAAAUAAUUUAUUGUUGAGAAAUUAUAUCUUUCGUCACACUCAAAUAUAUGAAUUCUUAGAGACUAAAGUGGAGGAGGGAUUUUU